CGGCAGGCCUAACACAUGCAAGUCGAGCGGUAGCACAGAGAGCUUGCUCUCGGGUGACGAGCGGCGGACGGGUGAGUAAUGUCUGGGAAACUGCCUGAUGGAGGGGGAUAAUCUACUGGAAACGGUAGCUAAUACCGCAUAAUGUCGCAAGACCAAAGAGGGGGACCUUCGGGCCUCUUGCCAUCAGAUGUGCCCAGAUGGGAUUAAGCUAGUAGGUGGGGUAAUGGCUCACCUAGGCGACGAUCCCUAGCUGGUCUGAGAGGAUGACCAGCCACACUGGAACUGAGACACGGUCCAGACUCCUACGGGAGGCAGGCAGUGGGGAAUAUUGCACAAUGGGCGCAAGCCUGAUGCAGCCAUGCCGCGUGUAUGAAGAAGGCCUUCGGGUUGUAAAGUACUUUCAGCGAGGAGGAAGGCAUUGUGGUUAAUAACCACAGUGAUUGACGUUACUCGCAGAAGAAGCACCGGCUAACUCCGUGCCAGCAGCCGCGGUAAUACGGAGGGUGCACGCGUAAUCGGAAUUACUGGGCGUAAAGCGCACGCAGGCGGUCUGUCAAGUCGGAUGUGAAAUCCCCGGGCUCAACCUGGGAACUGCAUUCGAAACUGGCAGGCUAGAGUCUUGUAGAGGGGGGUAGAAUUCCAGGUGUAGCGGUGAAAUGCGUAGAGAUCUGGAGGAAUACCGGUGGCGAAGGCGGCCCCCUGGACAAAGACUGACGCUCAGGUGCGAAAGCGUGGGGAGCAAACAGGAUUAGAUACCCUGGUAGUCCACGCCGUAAACGAUGUCGACUUGGAGGUUGUUCCCUUGAGGAGUGGCUUCCGGAGCUAACGCGUUAAGUCGACCGCCUGGGGAGUACGGCCGCAAGGUUAAAACUCAAAUGAAUUGACGGGGGCCCGCACAAGCGGUGGAGCAUGUGGUUUAAUUCGAUGCAACGCGAAGAACCUUACCUACUCUUGACAUCCAGAGAACUUAGCAGAGAUGCUUUGGUGCCUUCGGGAACUCUGAGACAGGUGCUGCAUGGCUGUCGUCAGCUCGUGUUGUGAAAUGUUGGGUUAAGUCCCGCAACGAGCGCAACCCUUAUCCUUUGUUGCCAGCGGUUCGGCCGGGAACUCAAAGGAGACUGCCAGUGAUAAACUGGAG
rnacentral:rRNA from 1 species